rnacentral:rRNA from 1 species
UCCUACGGGAGGCAGCAGUGGGGAAUUUUGGACAAUGGGCGAAAGCCUGAUCCAGCCAUGCCGCGUGCAGGAUGAAGGCCUUCGGGUUGUAAACUGCUUUUGUACGGAACGAAAAGACUCUGGUUAAUACCUGGGGUCUAUGACGGUACCGUAAGAAUAAGCACCGGCUAACUACGUGCCAGCAGCCGCGGUAAUACGUAGGGUGCAAGCGUUAAUCGGAAUUACUGGGCGUAAAGCGUGCGCAGGCGGUUAUAUAAGACAGAUGUGAAAUCCCCGGGCUCAACCUGGGAACUGCAUUUGUGACUGUAUAGCUAGAGUACGGCAGAGGGGGAUGGAAUUCCGCGUGUAGCAGUGAAAUGCGUAGAUAUGCGGAGGAACACCGAUGGCGAAGGCAAUCCCCUGGGCCUGUACUGACGCUCAUGCACGAAAGCGUGGGGAGCAAACAGGAUAGAUACCCUGGUAGUCCACGCCCUAAACGAUGUCAACUGGUUGUUGGGUCUUCACUGACUCAGUAACGAAGCUAACGCGUGAAGUUGACCGCCUGGGGAGUACGGCCGCAAGGUUGAAACUCAAAUGAAUUGACGGA